rnacentral:ncRNA from 10 species
AGCAGAGUAGGUCAGGAAGCGUUAAGUACCAUCUGAACGGGGAGUUGUCAGACGGGCGAAAAGUUUAUCUUGCGGUUUCCUGGUCGCAUCCCGCUGUU